GUGGAGGCCUAGUAGUUUUGUGGGCUCACUCUUCAUUGAUGAAUUUAAAACUUAAGAGUGGGAAUUUAAAACACGGGAAGAAAAAAAAAUGAAUGGCCCAAUGGUGAGUUAUUGAAAUCAACCAAGGUCUCUAAAAUAAAGGAGCCUCAGUGGGGGGAGGUGGCCUGGCUCUCUGUCUAGU